rnacentral:rRNA from 1 species
CCGCAUAACAACUUGGACCGCAUGGUCCGAGUUUGAAAGAUGGCUUCGGCUAUCACUUUUGGAUGGUCCCGCGGCGUAUUAGCUAGAUGGUGGGGUAACGGCUCACCAUGGCAAUGAUACGUAGCCGACCUGAGAGGGUAAUCGGCCACAUUGGGACUGAGACACGGCCCAAACUCCUACGGGAGGCAGCAGUAGGGAAUCUUCCACAAUGGACGAAAGUCUGAUGGAGCAACGCCGCGUGAGUGAAGAAGGGUUUCGGCUCGUAAAACUCUGUUGUUAAAGAAGAACAUAUCUGAGAGUAACUGUUCAGGUAUUGACGGUAUUUAACCAGAAAGCCACGGCUAACUACGUGCCAGCAGCCGCGGUAAUACGUAGGUGGCGAGCGUUGUCCGGAUCUAUUGGGCGUAAAGCGAGCGCAGGCGGUUUUUUAAGUCUGAUGUGAAAGCCUUCGGCUCAACCGAAGAAGUGCAUCGGAAACUGGGAAACUUGAGUGCAGAAGAGGACAGUGGAACUCCAUGUGUAGCGGUGAAAUGCGUAGAUAUAUGGAAGAACACCAGUGGCGAAGGCGGCUGUCUGGUCUGUAACUGACGCUGAGGCUCGAAAGUAUGGGUAGCAAACAGGAUUAGAUACCCUGGUAGUCCAUACCGUAAACGAUGAAUGCUAAGUGUUGGAGGGUUUCCGCCCUUCAGUGCUGCAGCUAACGCAUUAAGCAUUCCGCCUGGGGAGUACGGCCGCAAGGCUGAAACUCAAAGGAAUUGACGGGGGCCCGCACAAGCGGUGGAGCAUGUGGUUUAAUUCGAAGCUACGCGAAGAACCUUACCAGGUCUUGACAUACUAUGCAAAUCUAAGAGAUUAGACGUUCCCUUCGGGGACAUGGAUACAGGUGGUGCAUGGUUGUCGUCAGCUCGUGUCGUGAGAUGUUGGGUUAAGUCCCGCAACGAGCGCAACCCUUAUUAUCAGUUGCCAGCAUUAAGUUGGGCACUCUGGUGAGACUGCCGGUGACAAACCGGAGGAAGGUGGGGAUGACGUCAAAUCAUCAUGCCCCUUAUGACCUGGGCUACACACGUGCUACAAUGGAUGGUACAACGAGUUGCGAACUCGCGAGAGUAAGCUAAUCUCUUAAAGCCAUUCUCAGUUCGGAUUGUAGGCUGCAACUCGCCUACAUGAAGUCGGAAUCGCUAGUAAUCGCGGAUCAGCAUGCCGCGGUGAAUACGUUCCCGGGCCUUGUACACACCGCCCGUCACACCAUGAGAGUUUGUAACACCCAAAGUCGGUGGGGUAACCUUUUAGGAACCAGCCGCCUAAGGUGGGACAGAUGAUUAGGGUGAAGUCGUAACAAGGUAGCCGUAG